UUUCUGCUAUGAUGAUUGAAGAACAAAUUCACAUGUCAGACUUCAGAGAUUUUAUAUCAAUGAGAAUGACAAUUCUAUUUACUGAGCGGAAA